UACGUAGGGGACAAGCGUUGUCCGGAUUUACUGGGCGUAAAGAGCGCGCAGGCGGUCGUUCAAGUCGAGUGUGAAAGCCCCCGGCUCAACUGGGGAGGGUCACUCGAUACUGAUCGACUCGAAGGCAGGAGAGGGAAGUGGAAUUCCCGGUGUAGUGGUGAAAUGCGUAGAUAUCAGGAGGAACACCGGUGACGAAGGCGGUUCUCUGGGAAUAUCCUGACGCUGAGGAGCGAAAGUGUGGGGAGCGAACAGG
rnacentral:rRNA from 1 species